AAUCCCAGGAGAUUCAAUUCCACAUGGAAACCAAGAGAGUCCCAUAGUCUGGGGGGGGGCAGUUCUGGUAAAUGGCCCAGUUAGAGAGGAAGUGGAAACAGACUGACUCAGAAAGUUUCUGGUCUCUCGGUGGCUUUAUCCUCCUCCAUUCCCCCUAACCUAAGCUCCCCGCCCACCCCCCACCCCCCAAGCCUGGCUUUGUGUGGGGGUGAGCAACUGGGCUCCAGCCAGGGCAAGGGAGGAAGAGUGGGAGGCUGGCUGCUUAGACAUCCGCGAGAUCCACAGGCUUGUUGGCGGACAGCCCCGUGCGUGGUACAGAGAACGCUUCUGGAGGAGUUGGCUGUGGCCUGUGAUGGAUGUUUUUU